UCUCCCGGAUGAGCAAAGAAAGUGGCUUCUUGAGAGGGAGCCUACUCCUGGUGAGGAUGCCGUGAA
rnacentral:pre_miRNA from 1 species